GCGGGUGUAGCUUAGUGGUACAGCGAGAGCCUUCCAAGCUCUGGUCGAGAGGUCGAUGCGGUUCGACCCGCU
rnacentral:tRNA from 1 species